UACGGAGGGUGCAAGCGUUAUCCGGAUUCACUGGGUUUAAAGGGUGCGUAGGCGGACAGGUAAGUCAGUGGUGAAAUCUCUGGGCUUAACCCAGAAACUGCCGUUGAUACUAUUUGUCUUGAAUAUCCUGGAGGUAGGCGGAAUAUGUCAUGUAGCGGUGAAAUGCUUAGAUAUGACAUAGAACACCGAUAGCGAAGGCAGCUUACUACAGGAUGAUUGACACUGAGGCACGAAAGCGUGGGGAUCAAACAGG
rnacentral:rRNA from 1 species